GCAGCUAACGCAUUAAGUUGACCGCCUGGGGAGUACGGCCGCAAGGUUAAAACUCAAAUGAAUUGACGGGGGCCCGCACAAGCGGUGGAGCAUGUGGUUUAWUUCGAAGCAACGCGAAGAACCUUACCAGGCCUUGACAUCCAAUGAACUUUCCAGAGAUGGAUUGGUGCCUUCGGGARCWUUGAGACAGGUGCUGCAUGGCUGYCGUCAGCUCGUGUCGUGAGAUGUUGGGUUAAGUCCCGUAACGAGCGCMACCCUUGUCCUUAGUUACCAGCACKUAAUGGUGGGCACUCUAAGGAGACUGCCGGUGACAAACCGGAGGAAGGUGGGGAUGACGUCAAGUCWUCAUGGCCCUUACGGCCUGGGCUACACACGUGCUACAAUGGUCGGUACARAGGGUUGCCAAGCCKCGAGGUGGAGYUAAUCCCAYAAAACCGAUCGUAGUCCGGAUCGCAGUCUGCWACUCGACUGCGUGAAGUCGGAAUCGCUAGUAAUCGCGAAUCAGAAUGUCKCGGUGAAUACGUUCCCGGGCCU
rnacentral:rRNA from 1 species